GGAGCGGAGAAGGUGCUUCCCCGCGUUCUCCAUCUUACACUCCAGAUCGUCAAACACCUCGUACAGGCAGUCCUUGAAGAAGGUAGACCGCACAUUGCCUGUUCUCUGCAAUGAUCGGGCAGAAGCACAAUUAGAGGAAGGAAGUCAUUAUCACCAAGAGCAUGCAUCUAGCUACCCACUCACCCUGCUGUUGACUUCUACACCGAAUGCAUUUUCCUUUUGUUUGAGGACUUAUGUAAUGACCAAAUAAGCAUACUAGGUUGAGGUCGGACGAUUAAUCGGAAUGGCCGAUUAAUUGGGGCCGAUUCGGUUUUCAUAACAAUCGGUAAUCUGCAUUUUUGGACACUGAUUAUGGCCGAUUACAUUGCACUCCACGAGAAGACUGGCAGGCUGACUACCUGUUAGGCGAGUGCAGCAAGGAGCCACGGAGCGGGGAAGCCUUACCGGAGAGAGCUUCUGGAUGAGGUCAUGAGCCACGUGGACUAGGUUCUUGUCCUCCUGCAGGCUCUUCUGAAAACGCCUACUCUCCUCUUCCUCGAGGAGGUCAAAGUCGUUGGCCGCAUCCAACAAGGCCUGG